rnacentral:sRNA from 1 species
UCAGUACCGAAAUGGCGCCAGCGGGCCC